UAUACGUACUGAUAGGAGGAGGAGGAGGAGGAGGAGCUCGUAAUUGCGCAUGCGUAGUAUGAAACCCACAUUUUAAGCGGGAUUUGGAGAAGCUGAGGACUUGGAUUUUAAGAUCAAGAGCCUUCACGUUGACGUUGAGCAUGAGAGAGCCGGUUCUCUAGCUUUAUGGAAGGGAAGCCUGUACGUAUCUGUUCAUGAACCAGCCAAAAAGUGUGUUAAGACAAAUGCUCAUGUGAUCAAUCAAUGACAAUCGCGUACUGGGCGUGGAAUCAAAAAUAUGAUGUGUCAUGACAGUGGACAUUACAGGCACCCAUUAACGUGUUGAAAACGACUCGUUGGACAAUCAUAAUUAUUAUGAUGAUUUAAUAAUAGAAUCUCAGUACAGUAAUGUUGCAGACGUAAACCAACGUCAGUUCUUAUGAUCGUUCUCAAGGCCUGGAAACUGCUAUUAAAUCAUAAAGGUAUCGAUGUCGAUCUCUCAGAUAUGUCGAUUCUGUUAAAUUACCGACCGGCUACCAUGAUCAUACAAGUCAUUGAAAGUGAACAUAAUGAUGGUAAAUAAUACAAGUCAACACUAGGUAGCCUUUAAGUCACUCAUUUUGUGUCCAGCUAGCUGUUGUCUUGUGUUUCUUGUCUUGUUUCUUUCUGAUGCAUGCUGUAUAUAUAAAUUAUAUUUUUGAUUGAACUUUGAA